AUCUAGCUAACGAGUUCCAAAUAGAACGAGACGCGUCCUGGAU
rnacentral:hammerhead_ribozyme from 1 species